AUAAAAGCUAUGAAGGAGACGGAUAUACACUUAAAAACUAUAGAGAGCCGGGGUUGGUGGAAACCGGUGUUGCGGUGUAUAUCUAACUCACUCUGGAGCUGCAUGGCUGAAGUGGUAGUAGGUCAUGCCGUGCGCCUGCGUUAAAAGGUAAGGUUUUAAAACCUGAUGAGGCCCAUGUCGUGAGGCAUGGGUGGAUUAGGGUGGUACCGCGAGCUUAACCCUCGCCCCUAUA
rnacentral:ncRNA from 1 species